ensembl:lncRNA
CUUUGAAGAGAAAAGAAAAAGAAAAAAAGAAAAAGAGAAAAAAAAAACACAAAAACAAACUUUUUUUAUUCAAAAAUAACAAAGUUCUUGUAAGGUAAAUACUGUAUUUAGCAUGAAGCAUGAAUUAUUUUCAUAUAAAUAUAGAAAUAGAGAGAAGGCUAUGCCUCUAAUUUUUAAGCCCUUAGGCUUAGAGGUUCUUUUGUUCUUUUUUUCCUUUUUUUUUUUUUCUUUUUCUUUUCCUUUUUUUUCUUUCCUUUUUUGUUGUUGUUACUUUGUUUUGGUUUUUUGAAGCAGGUGUUUAAGGUUUAAUCUUCAGGGACAAACUCUGACUGUUGGGGAACUUACUCUGCAAUAUAAAUUAUCUUCAUACUCUGGUAGGGCUUGGAUGGUUGAGCUCUGUACUGCCUUGUCCGCACUCAGCCCCGACCCCCUCUGACUCUCUGCUGAAGAGUGUGUCCUUCCCUUUGUCUGUAUGUGUUUAACGUGACGCAAUAAUUCGAGGGCAAACUUAGUAGUGUGUAUGAUAGAGUCAAGAGAAUGAAGGGACGCUUACUUGAGAAAAAUCAUUUCCGUGAUUUGGUUCUAGGAAAAAGGCAGUGAAUAAUUAUGCAAAUUCGCCAGAAGAAGGGGAAACAUGCUAAUGGGCCUUACUGGGUGAGGGUAAGAGAUAGGGUACAUGGGUAGGAGGAAGUAAGUGAUAAUGGGCUCAGAUGGGCUAGCCCUACAUGCUUUACUGCGCAUGACUGUGUGAUUUCGCAGUGAGAAGGGGACUCUGGCCAUCUCUGCCUUCUUCAGCAGUAACCGCCCUGGGACUAAGACCACCUAGAUAAGUGAGAGCUGAAUAACAACCAGACCAUGUCACACAGGCCAGAAACUCCAGUUACCUUUGCCAAAAAAUUGUUGUUCCUUGAGGUCUAAAGAGGAAUCCCUAAAACAGUAUGGCCUUCCAUCCAAAUGGAGGGAACUUUUGAAAACAAAAACACUACCAUGGCUCAGGGUCAGAUGUUUGGGAGAAGGAGAAAACUGAGGUGACCUUGGACUUUUGAAACGGGACAGGUGUGGGCCUUUAAAGCUAUGUCCCCCUGUCAGAGCCAGGUACCAUGGCAACUGCAUCCCCUGGAAGAAAAGGCAGGUUAUCUGGUGCAUUCCCCUACCUAACCUGAAGGCAGCUUCAGAAAGAAUGGGGGGGGUUCCCAUUUCAGGGCAGGCUAGAUUUACCCCCACCUGUCCCUGAGCCUGGGCUCUCUCAACUUGGGGGUUCAGGGUUAGAUGAGAGCACAGGUGUGUUUUUCCAGUGCUCUGAUCCCUCCUUCUCCACAAACCUCUGACACCCUACAAGCCAUCCACAGCUCUGGAACCUGAGCCACACUUUGAUUUCUGUUGUCACCUAACCAAGUCCAAAAGACCACCCUCCCCACCCCAAGAUGGUGAGACUCAGACCUCUACUGAAGGCGAAGGUAAGCACUCAGCACUGUUUCUGGCAGGGGACUUCUUCCGAUGAAAACCCCACGCGGGCUGUCUCCCCUCGUUUCAUUUUUCCGAAGGGGCAGAGGCCUCUUUCAGAGAUAACAAGAUGCAGUGUGUGUGUGAUUUACUUUUCUGAUCUCUCAGAGAUCUAGAAAACUAUCUUAUACAAGUGUGUUCUGAACCCCAGAACCACUCUUUUUGCAUAAAUACCUCAUCGGGCAGCUUUCUAAGUGUUAUUUUCCUGAGCCUCCCUUGGCGCCUUUGUUGGAAUUUUCUGGAAGACUUGUUGGGGAAACUUUAGUAAGGGUACCUUUUUCUAUUUUCCUUCUGUUUUGGAGGCAUACACAUUAUGCAUAACCAAAACAAUGGCUCAAUUGUGUUUAACUCUGUAUUUUGACUGUUGAGGCGAAAACAAAGUUAUCAAUGUGUAUGUGGACGUUUGUAGCAAAGUCUGCCGAAUGAGGCUGUCCGUGUCCUUAACAAGCCAAGGGGCAGGAGGCACCCUCUCUUUCCCCUCCCCCAAGAGCAGUAGAGAAUUUAAGCACAAGCCUAUUUGUGAAAGAAUAUUUUGCUUAAGUGUAAUUCACUUUAGUCUUGGACUUUCUUCCCAAACGUCAGGUGUUCUUUUAGCUUUCAAACUAGCCUGUGUAUCCAUUAGUCUGACAGAUCGCCUGAGCAUCGUUAAAGGGGUGUGGUGUUCUUUCUUUGUGGUUCAUGUGUCAUUCCAGGAUCUCAUGUACUCACAUGGGGCAGGGGGGAGGGGAAACGGGGAACUAUAGCAAUAUUUACAGAUGCUUUGGAAACAGCAGUGACCACAUCAGCACCGUUGACAUUACAACCACUGGCUGUUGGCCCUCGGACACAUUGAAGAGAAGAGACAGUGGUUUUCUUUUCUUAGGUGAAACACACAUCAAUAUUUUAUCCUACCCUUGGUCGUCUUUCUCCUUUCUCCAGUACUUUUUGUGGAAAGGGUUCACAUCAUGGGUUUAUCUUUCUAACGUAUCACAAGCUCCUACUUCCCUCCCCCUCUCCAGUCAGUAUAUUUUUCAAGAGUUCUUUUGGUAAAGCUGGCUCUCUGAAACUAGAGCUGAGCCAAACCCACCUAUGUAAGGAAACGGUGGUGAGGACAACAGAAGCAGGUGUCCAUCUUUGGCUGGGUCUUUAAGGAGGAAUGGGUUGAUACCCUUUCCCAAGAAUGGAUUUUUCUUGGAGAGUCAUUCAGCAUGUCUAGUGCUUUCUGUUCAUUGCGGUUCCUACCAUGGAACAGUCUAGAGUACUGCAUUCAAUGGUACCCAGGCAAGAGAGAACGGCUUUGGUGCCCAGCCUAAGAGUCCAACACAGCAGGCUCAUACUCAGUGACCCAAGCCACCAUUUUGGGUUUCAGUAGUGCUACUCUGGGACCUUCAGCCUCUUGAGGUGGGGAGGCUAUGACAUGCCAGAGUUAGGGACAAGUGACUUGCGUGGGAUGUUUUCCCGCAUAUGGGAUUAGACUAAAUGAUUUCCCUUCCCCUUUCAAACCUUAUUCAGGUCGGGACUCAUUUCUUUCUGGUGGAUCACAGCUGCCCAGAUGUUGCAAUUGAUUUCUUUGUUUCUCUAGAGAAGUCCUUUUCUUUCAUCUUCAGAAGUUUUUUUUUUGUUCCUUACUACUUUUUUGCCACCGAAAGAAAACAUUGGAACCUAUGUCCCCUCUUGAUUGUGACUUGCCAGUGUUGACAGUUCAGUCCUUCGUGUUGUAGGUCCCAGCCCACCAGUACUAUAUCACUGUAGGCACAUGAUGCAGCACUGUGAUCUAAUUUAAAUAAUACUUUUUUAUUAUUUAUACUACUAUAUAUAAUAUACAUCAACACUUUUGCUAUAUAACCUACGUGGUAAACCCUUUUUAGUUACCUGUCAGACUAGACUUUGGUUUCUAUUGCAGUUAACACAGUUACAGAAUUGUAAUGGUGUCUUCUUUUUAUUUUUUUUCUUUGUAAUGGAAUGUGUAAAUCAAAGUAUAUACAUUGUGUGGUGUUCCUGUUUCUUGGGAUGUCAUGAGGAGUUACACACGGCAUUCAGUGUUCUGUAUAGACCUGCCCACCUUCGUGAAUUCAUCUGUUAACCCCUCUUCGUUUGAGAGCGCGCCAGCCAUGGUGGCUAACUCCCAGCGUCCUCUCUCCUGCUGGCUAUUCUUGAAUUAAGCACAGACUUGUCCACUCGGUUGCUUUAUCAUGAAAAAUGGGUGUGACUUGGUCACUCUUCCACCCUUCAGCAAACAAGUGCUAGCUUCACUGACCAAAAAUUAAGGAAGGAAAACACAAUUGAAAAAAAAAAAAAAAAAGAUCCACCUGUUCAUGGCCGAAAUGGAUAUGUCUAUGGUGCUGCCUCGUGCUGUCGAGCUUCUGGAAUCAGACCGCUGUGGAACGAUCAUUUCUGAUUUGCUGUGGGAUGCUCACAAGUACCCUUCCUAUCUCAUUAGUAUUGAAAUCAAGACUCUUUUAUUUGAGAUCUCUACAGCAGUGUUUCUCCACUGUGUUUCAUUUGCAAAAGCAGAGAACAUGGCUUCUCCACCCUUUUGCAAAUAAUCGAUAUUCCAUAUUGGAUUCUCAAAAGACUUCGAUAUGGUGAUCCUGUCAAACCUAGAAAUUGUAUUUUAUCUUUUCAUACCUGGUUUCCCCCACUUCCCCUGUUUUAGAGGAAACAGCACACUUUCUGUUGUGGAUGCAUUCACCAUUUCUUGAGUAUGUGUGUUAAAGCCAUCCAAGGCCGUAGCUGGCUCAGCCAGUCCCGCUCCAUUAUUCCCACUGCCUGUACUGCCAUGGUGAACAUGGGCGUGGAAAAAGUUCUAUCUGUGUGUGUCUGGGAAACAGCUACAUGGACUUUUUUUUAACACUCUGAUCCUGUAACAUUUCUGAGUUUUGUUUUAAUUUUACAGAAAACAAAACCACAUUGGUAAAGCAGCGAAAAGACCAAGAGGGCUGUGGUUGAAUCUUAGGGUCACCCGACCUUUCCAGGCCAACAGAUCUACAAGGCCAAAUUAAUUUACAAGAGUAAUAAUUUCCUCAGAAGCCAAUUUUUUUUCUGUUUUUCUGUAUGAAGCUGCCAAUAUCAUGAACAGAAGGGGGGAAUCAGAGAGAAAGAAAAUGAUGUUCGGUGGUGCUUGCAUUUGCCCAAAGCAGCGGUGUGGAGAUGGCGCCAUCAGCUGAGCUCGGGGGACUUGGUGUCGCUUGGGAGGGAUCCAUACAGCAUUUUGCGUUCUUCAUGUGUAAUCAUAUUGCCAAAGACAAACUACUUCAUCAUUUAUUGUAAAUAACACUUCCCCAGACCUACCAUAAAGUUUCUGUGAUGUAUUGUCUUCCAGUUGCAAUAAAAAUUACUGAGUUGCAUCAAUUGAA